AAUGAACGUUGGCGGCAUGGAUUAGGCAUGCAAGUCGAGCGAGAAGAGUUUUGAAGCUUGCUUUAGAACUCGGACAGCGGCGAAAGGGAGAGUAACGCGUAGUUAUGUGCCCUAGGGUCCGGAAUAGCCACGGGAAACUGUGGGUAAUGCCGGAUAAUAUCCCCGGAUCAAAGGUGUGAUUCCGCCCUAGGAGCAGACUGCGUCCUACUAGCUAGUUGGUGGGGUAAUGGCCUACCAAGGCAACGAUGGGUAGCGGGUGUGAGAGCAUGACCCGUCUCACUGGGACUGAGACACUGCCCAGACACCUACGGGUGGCUGCAGUCGAGAAUCUUCGGCAAUGGGCGAAAGCCUGACCGAGCGAUGCCGCGUGCGGGAUGAAGGCCCUCGGGUUGUAAACCGCUGUCGUAGGGGAGGAAGGUUCCGUGAAGAGCGGAAUUUGACCUAUCCUAGGAGGAAGUACGGGCUAAGUUCGUGCCAGCCGCCGCAGUAA
rnacentral:rRNA from 1 species